rnacentral:rRNA from 1 species
CCUACGGGAGGCAGCAGUGGGGAAUAUUGCGCAAUGGGCGAAAGCCUGACGCAGCGAAGCAGCGUGAGGGAUGAAGGUCUUCGGAUCGUAAACCUCUGUCAGCAGGGAAGAACGGUCACUGUGCUAAUCAGCAGUGAAUUGACGCUACCUGCAAAGGAAGCACCGGCUAACUCCGUGCCAGCAGCGGCAGUAAUACGGAGGGUGCGAGUGUUAAUCGGAAUUACUGGGCGUAAAGCGCUCGUAGGCGGUAUGUCAAGUCAAGGGUGAAAUCCCCGCGCUCAACGUGGGAACUGCCUUUGAAACUGGCAACCUGGAGUGUGUGAGAGGAUAGUGGAAUUCCAGGUGUAGGAGUGAAAUCCGUAGAUAUCUGGAGGAACAUCAGUGGCGAAGGCGACUAUCUGGCACAUAACUGACGCUGAGGAGCGAAAGCGUGGGGAGCAAACAGGAUUAGAUACCCGGGUAGUC